rnacentral:rRNA from 1 species
CGAUACUUGGUGUGAAUUACAGAAUCCCGUGAACCAUCGAGUCUUUGAACGCAAGUUGCAUCUGAGACCUUUUGGUUGAGGACACACCUGUCUGGGUGUCAAGC